AAUCAACGCUGGCGGCGCGCUUAACACAUGCAAGUCGCACGAGAAAGGGAGCAAUCCUGAGUAAAGUGGCGUACGGGUGAGUAACACGUGGGAAUCUACCUCUUGGCGGGGAAUAACCCUGGGAAACCGGGGCUAAUACCGCAUAAGCUCGUGAGAGGAAAGCAGCAAUGCACCGAGAGAGGAGCCCGCGGCCGAUUAGCUAGUUGGUGAGGUAAUGGCUCACCAAGGCGAAGAUCGGUAGCCGGCCUGAGAGGGCACACGGCCACACUGGCACUGAAACACGGGCCAGACUCCUACGGGAGGCAGCAGUGGGGAAUCUUGCACAAUGGGGGAAACCCUGAUGCAGCGACGCCGCGUGAGCGAUGAAGCCCUUCGGGGUGUAAAGCUCUU
rnacentral:rRNA from 1 species